CAGCGAAGCCUCUUCCGUUGUACAGUCAUCACAGCCAGUCGACGCGGGGAACCCGGUGAGAAUCCGAGACGGUCGCGCCACUGUGAGCAAGCGCAAGCUGCGAGUCAGACACCUGCACUGGCCAUGAGUCACAA
rnacentral:ncRNA from 2 species